AGUGAACGCUGGCGGUAGGCCUAACACAUGCAAGUCGAACGGCAGCACAGUAAGAGCUUGCUCUUACGGGUGGCGAGUGGCGGACGGGUGAGGAAUACAUCGGAAUCUACUUUUUCGUGGGGGAUAACGGAGGGAAACUUACGCUAAUACCGCAUACGACCUACGGGUUAAAGCAGUGGAUCUUCGGACCUUUCGCGAUUGAAUGAGCCGAUGUCGGAUUAGCUAGUUGGCGGGGUAAAGGCCCACCAAGGCAACGAUCCGUAGCCGGUCUGAGAGGAUGAUCGGCCACACUGGAACUGAGACACGGUCCAGACUCCUACGGGAGGCAGCAGUGGGGAAUAUUGGACAAUGGGCGAAAGCCUGAUCCAGCCAUGCCGCGUGGGUGAAGAAGGCCUUCGGGUUGUAAAACCCUUUUGUUGGGAAAGAAAAGCAGCAGGUUAAUCCCCCGAUGUUCUGACGGUACCCAAAGAGUAAGCACCGGCUAACUUCGUG
rnacentral:rRNA from 1 species